rnacentral:lncRNA from 13 species
CACAGUGUGAAAAGCAUAAAAAUUAAUUCUGGAGAUUUAGUAGAAAUAAUUUUUAUGUUUUUCACAUUGCACAAGAGAAUCGGGAUAACGAACUUCGUUAGCCAGUCGAGAUUCUUGAGUCUACUGUUGAGGUUAUAAUAUAGAUACAGGUACUUGAGUUGGUUUAUUUUUAAAAGUAUCAAACAUCUUAAAAAAGAAAGAUCCGUUUUUAAUUUACUAAGUUUUAAGAAUGUCACGCAAUGAAAAGCCUCAAACAUCCAAAAACAAGCACUAUACAUUGAUCGAGAGAAAAAUAUUUUUACAAAUACUUGAGAAAUAUAAAAAUGUAAUUGAAGUUAAAGUACACUUAAGGAAAAGUACAAGCAAGCAAGUUCCUCCAAAGGUACCAAUUAAAAAAAGAAAGCAUCAAGAAGUGUCUUAUCAAGAAACAGAAGAUAAUUUACGGGUACAACGUAUUUAGCAAGUAAUGAGUCAAGAGCAAGAUUUAGCGACUGUCAAAUUAAAACACGAACAAAAUAUGAAUAAAAUGAGAGAAGAGCAUUUAAAACACAUGAACGAAAUGGAAGCACUGCAUAAAAAAGAAAUAAAUAAGUUAGAAAGGGAAAUUAAAAUAACAAAACUGAAAAUUUUACAAAGUCAACAAAGAAAAUAUUGAUUUACAAUUGUAAAACUUUUCCUAGGAAACGUGAAAAGUAAUGAAAAUUUUUUCCAUUAAUUUUAGUGGUACAAAUUUUUACUUUUCACAUUUUUACCUUAGGAAAAAUGUUACUCCGUUUUGGUGUAACAUCUUGCUCUUGGCCUAUUACGCGCACAACAAUUUUUUUGAGGAUGUUGGGAUCAAUACUUUUUUUUUGUUUUAAAUCAGUGCCAUCCAACAUUUGAAUGAGUACAUCCUAAUUAUAGUUUUUACUGUUUGACAGAUAAGUGACGGCUGUUUGUAUUUCUCAUAUAUCUCGCUUCAUGCAAGUUGGAUGACUUUUUUAUUUUUGUUUUAGACUUUGAAUUUAAAUGUAUUAGUGUUUAUGUCUAUUGUUAAUGUCUAAUACUUAUUUUUAUUUUAUAACUGUUUUGUUGUAGUGCACAACGUUUAGUCUUAGGUAUGGUACUACUUUAGAAUUAUUAUAAGUUUUUGAAUGUUUUAUUAUUUUUUGUAUUUAUCUAACAAAUGGCUUAUCACACUUGGGAAUUGAAAAAUUUAUGAUUUUUGUUUUAAUAUUUUUAUUACUUUCACUAACAAGUAGCCAAAAGGUUGGCAAAUAUUUUACGUAACAAUAUGUAACAUGUAAGAACACAGUGUACAAGUGUACUAUAUUUUUUAAGAACAAAGUGUACAAGUGUAAAUAUAUUUUUAUAAUUAUUGAAAUAUAUGUAAUUAAA